rnacentral:lncRNA from 1 species
GACUGGGGUAGAAAAGGAAGGAAGAAUGGAAGGAGGAAUAGCGGGAGACAGGACAGCCUCAGCGCAAACUUUCAUUUCCUUCCCACCAGAGGGCACUAGGAUCCCCCUCUCCCCACUGCAGUGCUGGCCUGUGAGUUGAACUUUCCACAAUUGCCCAAACCUCUCCUAUAUGACAAGGAGCCCUCAGCCAUUCUGGCCACAGCACCCAGUCCCUCUCCUUAGGAAGCAGGUACAAUCCGUCUAACACAGCCUUGCAGGAGGGUGAGUGGGCGUGGGUGUGCGUGUGCAUCUCUGUAUGUGGGGGUCUGUUUCUGCGUGUGUAUCUCUGUGUCUCUGCACCUGUGUGUGUCCCUGUAUCUGUGCACACGCCCUCUCAGCAGCAGCGUCUGGUGAUGAAGCAGUUGGGGCUGGUGCUUCUGCUGGGAGUGGCGGCAGCUCCCUUCCACAGCUCAGAGCCCUCUUGGCCCCCUGGCUCCCCACAUCCCAGGGGCCUGCACACCUGGUUUCUGGCUUCUGAGCCCUCCUAAGCUGAGGCUGCUUUCCCUUAAUUAUUUCCUGCCUGAGUCCUGGAGCAGCAUCUUUAACUAUUUACUGCACAGAGUGCAGGCUGAGGCGGCAGAGCUGGGAGCCGCAGAGGCCACUCGAGCGGGCUGAGGUCCUGGAGCAGAGUGGAAGGACCACAGAGUCCACAUUUGGGACCUGCCUCCUGUCUGAUGAUGCCACCAAGACCCUGAUAUGUGAGAUGACUUGCCCAAGGUCCCACAGCCAGUAAUUUGAAUGCAGGCAGUCAAACCAAGGAGGAAGCAGGGAGCAGCUGUGCCUGGAUGGGCGAGGGUGGAGGACUGCACAGGUCAGGGAGCUCGUUCUGGCUCCUGCCAGGGGAGUCGGCCAUGCAGUGUGUGAAAGGUCUCCUGGUUCCUGGGAGUGUUGGCUGUGAUGACAUCAUCCUAGAAGUCACUGACUGGAUUGGCAAUGGGGCUGAUGCUGAGUGCCUGGCACGCUAUGUGCUGGGCACUGGGCUACACAACGGACACUGAAUACUUUCCAUAGACAACCCUGCACGAUGCAUGACCUUGGGCAAGUUACUUGACCUUUGUGGGCCUCAGUUGCCUUGUCAGUAAAUUGGGGAUAAUAAUAGGACUCACUUCCCAGGAAUAAAUGACUUUCUCCAAGUAAA